AAAUUACUAUAUAAAUAAUGGAAAGCCAAAUAUUGGACAAUGAGUUCAUUCCAACCUUAAUAAUUGAAAUGUCUUUUUCUUGACCCACAGAUGUAAUGUUAUUCUCAAUAUUUGUGAAGGAUGUGUGACAUUGUGGAGUGGGACGCAGUAUUCCCACUUGUUCCCUAGAAAACAGACAGAUUUUUAUGUUAUGAUCUAUUACCGUUCCUAUUUCUAAAUGCACAAUUAACUUUUUAUAGCCUUAUCCGUAGGCCCUUCUUAAGUUUGCUUCUUUUUGAUCAGUGGUCCUGUUGUUAUCAUUGUAGUUUUCACACCUUGCAUGGGUUCAAACUGAUAGAAAGUCGGGUGGUCUUGGCGACUUGAAUUAUCCAUUGAUUUCUGAUGUCACCAAAUCCAUCUCAAAAUCUUAUGAUGUUCUCAUUCCCGAUCAGGUAUUUUUAAAUUGAUGGCUAUUCAUAUUCCCCUGCUAUCAUCAGCCCCAAUGUAUUUUGUGCUUUAGUUUCAAAUUCUCUGGAAAGAAAUGUAGGAUGCUGUCUAGAUUAAUUGUUGAAAUGUUGUUUGUGAAACUAUUGCUUUUCAUUAUUUUUUUUUAGCACCUUUCACAACAAUUCUAAAUGUUUCCGAUGAUUAGGGGAUUGCUUUGAGAGGAUUGUUCAUUAUUGACAAGGAAGGGGUUAUUCAGCAUUCUACCAUUAACAACCUGGCCAUUGGUAGAAGUGUUGAUGAGACAAAGAGAACGCUCCAGGUAAUUAUACGAAAAAUCAGGACAACACCAGGAUUGACAAUUUUUUUAGUAUAUGUUGAACUCUUUUUUUUUUUUUUUUUUUUUCUAGUCAUCUGUCAUUUAUAUAAAUUCUUGGCAUCCAUUUAUGUGCAUUGGUUUGCAGGCCUUGCAGUAUGUGCAGGAGAACCCAGAUGAAGUUUGCCCAGCUGGGUGGAAGCCUGGUGAGAAGUCCAUGAAACCAGACCCUAAACUUAGCAAAGAGUACUUCUCUGCUAUUUAGGGAGGAUAAUGGUUGAAGAGUAGCAAUUGCUCAUAUGUAUCAAUCAAUGAUAAUUUGUAUAAUGCAACGCAAGUUUAUAAAGUUUUGAUUGAGAGGGUCUCAUGAUUAUAUAAAUGCAUACUGUUCAAUAAUUUUCGAAUGAAUUAUGUAUCUAUUUUUAUCAAUACGUCUGUUUUUUUAUGUAUUUCAUGAUUAUUUAUGGACCAUGCUUUUAUAUAUGAUGGAGGAAAAAGGGAUCAUGGUUUUGUAGCCUUAUCGAGCAAGUAGGUAUGUGUAAGAAUAAUCAUGAAAUGAUCAUAGGAUUUGAAACACCAACAAAAAUGAUCAUAGGAUUUUAAGAAUGCAUCCUUGUUGAUUUGUGGAAAGGAAUAUCUUGUAUUCAUGAUCAGUUGUCAAUUGUAUCUCACUUAUAAAUUCCUGUUCGAUGAAUCUAUUGUAAAAUGUCUUCAUAAUGGCAUUUUCCCAUUCAAAAGUACGAGUCUUCCAUUAGAAGGGUUGGCUUUAUUUGGCAUGAGUGUUUUAUCCGAACGGUUCUUUUCAUAAUGGUUUUGAAAUCAAGAGUCGGAUUUGUUCAUUUCUAAAAUUGACUUCCUUGUACUUUUCUUUAUUAAUUAUUUUUUAAGUAGAACACAUCUUACUUCUAUAACAUAAUUGUAAUAAAAUAUUACUUAUCAUAUUCCGCAUACAAAUAUAUGUCUUAUCAUUAUUUUAAGGUUUAAAAUUUUAUAAAUUAGAUUAUUUUUAAUUGAGUUUCUAUUAAAAAAAUUGUUUUAUUGAGUGUUCAAAAUAUUUGUUUAUUUUUGUUUAGAUGUUUUAUCAUUUGAUUUGUCAUUAGGGGAUUAUAUGAUUGUUACUUAUAUGUCUCCAACUCAUUGAUCCACUUCCUCAUUAUCUCUUCAAUCUCUUAUAACUUGUUUAUUUAAUGGGCGAGUUGAAAGAGAUCGAAGAGAAAAAUAUCUUGUUGAAAGGAAGAUAAAAAUAACAAUUACCUUAUCUUGUUGACCACCAAAUCAAUUAGCACGAUACUUAGAUAAAAAUAAAAAGUAUUUUGAAUAUUUAGUGAAAUAUAUUUUUUGUAGAAUUAUUAACAUAUUGACUAGAGAAAUUACCAUAUGUUUUAAGAAAAUUACUCAAAUGUCUAAGAAAAUUAUUAUAAAAAUGUCAUCCGCAUAUAAAAUAUGAGAGAAAGUGAAAAAACCUUGCAGAUUAGUCAUAUGUAGAAUCUUCUUAUCAUUCACAAGCUUUGAGAGACCUCUAUUAAGAACUUCCUCCACAAGACAAAAAAGUAGAGGAGACAAGAUCACAUUGUCUAACACCUCUACAACAAGGAAAAAAAACCCACUAAAUUGUCAUUUAUUUUGAUAGAAAGUAUAGCUGAACGAAGAAUAGUACUAAUCUAAUCGACAAACUAGGAGUGAAAACCAAAGCGUGACAAAACUAAUAGUAAAAACUUCCCACUUAGAGUGUCAAAGGCUUUGUGAAUAUCAAUUUUGUAAGUCACAUUGCCUCCAUGAACUUUUUUAGAAAGCAAGUUAAUAGUUUCAGAAACAAUACCAAUACAAUCUUGAAUUUGUCUGCCUUGCACAAACUCAUACUGAUUAGGAGAAAUAAUUCUAGCAAACACAAGAGCAAGCCGAUAUGCCAAAAUCUUAGAAAUAAUCUUAAAUUUAAAAUCAACAACAAUUGACUUGUAAGAAAUAUAUAUAUAUAUAUAUAUAUAUAUAUAUAUAUAUAUUUUGGAAACUUAUAGUUACAGGAUUAUUAUAAUAAAUAUAUAUUUUGUAUAUAAAAUUAUAAAUAUAAUUUUCAUAAUUUUUUAUUCACUUUUAAUUUCUUUCUCUUAAUCUAAAUAACUUUAUUUUAGUUAAUAUUUCCUCUCAAAUCCAUCAAUUUCCUCAAUCUAAAAUUCAUCUUCAAAUUCAAAAAAAUUCUUGCAUUUCAGAAUUUGAUUUUCUAUCAACCAAAUUCUGAACUUGCACAAGUCUAAUUUGAGAGAUAAAUUGUGUGACUGUACUUAGAGAUUUUUUAUUUAGUUUAUUUUGAUAAAAAAAAUGAAACGAUUAAAUGUUUCACAGACUAAGAAUCGAAGGACACCUAACCAUUAAAUUAGAAAGAUAAGUAAAAUAAACAUAUGAAAACUCCAUAAAAGAAUGUUUUAUUAAUUAAACAUUAAAAAAAGUAAAGACAACCAGAACGUGUGGAUAGGAAAAAUUCAGAAUAAUCAAAGUAAACUAAAACAUUAUCUGUUUGAAGUAAGAUUUACUAAUGAAAUAAAUUUGCUUCAUAAGAGUUUAAUUAUUUAAAUUGAAAUUCAAUUUUAGUUUUAGUUAUGUGAUAACACCACAUAAUAUUGAACAUAGUUCUUUAGUAUCUUUAAAUAUACUUUAUUUAACAAAAUAAGAGAAAAUAAUAAUAUUUAAUUAUAUGUUGUUUAUUCUAAAUACUUUAUGUACCCCUGUAGGUUGAAUUAAUAUCUUGAUAUGCUAAUAUAAUUACAAUAAAAUUGAUUAUUACAUACUUAAGAUAUUAUUCACAAGUUAUGGUAACUAAUAACUUACACAAUUAAAUAAUGUGUAUUGGAGAGAUUAUAAAUACGAUAUAUCUAAUAUAUUUAUGAUUUCAAGUUUCUUAAAACACCCACCUUUCAAAUAAACUUUAAUAAAUACAUUAAUACUAACAAAAAAAAAUAUCAUCGAAAAAAAACAUAAAAUAAUAUUAAGAUGUUGAUUUUGGGAGAUCACUCUAAACCUUACAGCAAUUCUUUAAGAUUUAAAUAAAGAUAACAUUUUUUUUCAGAGAAUAUUACCGAUAAAGUUACAUUCUCCCAUAUAAGUGAUAUGAAUUCUUUGUAAUGCUUGGGAUUCUUUCAUUAAACUUAAACAAUUACAGCAAUAAUUUUUAAACCAUUUUUUUAUAAAGUAAUAUAUGCAAAAAGAAUACGUGCAAAAAAACUGUGAAGUUGAUUAUUUUGAAUAUUUUUAACAUUUUAAAUUGUAUAACACAAAUUAUUAUUUAUGAUUAGUCAAUGAUAUAUUGGCUAUUUUUUUAUUGAAUACGUGAAAACCUAAUUUUAAUAACUUCUGAAGUCAAUUUUUUUAUUUCAUUAUUAUAUGAAUUUACUUAAAUAUAUUUCGAAUACAUCAUCACAGCAUCAGAUGUUGAAACGCCCGUGUAAGUUAAAUUGGUAGAAAUAUGAUGUGCAUAAAAAUUAAAAUGAAUUUGAUUUCUUAGGUUAUUUAUUAGAUAAAUACUGCUUUCUCCGUCGUCCAUUCUAUUCUAUCUACACUCACUCUCUCACUCUCCCACUCUCCCAUGGCUUCCUCAGCUCCCUGUGCUUCUCUCAUAUCCUCAAACCCUAACAUUCUCUUCUCUCCCAAAUUCCCUUCUUCUUCCUUUUCUUCCCUCUCCUUCCCCAAUUCCCCCAAUUCUCUUUUCAAACCUUUACGCACUUCUCUCAAUCCUUCAUCUCCCCCUCUCAGAACCUUCGUUGCCAGGGCUUCGGUAAUUCUUUUCUCCUACCACUUACUCUCCUUUUCCCACUUAAAUCUUACAUUGCGCUGCAACAAUUUGCUCCUUUUUUAUGUUUCUGCUGAUUUUACUGUUACCUGCUUCUUUGCUUGCUUGCUUGUUGGCCUCUAUUUUUUGUGCAUUUUUCUCUCUUCCCAUCAAUGUGUGCUUUCAUAUCCAACUCUCUUGUUUCUAGUCCUCGCUGCUCUCGCUCACCUGCUAAUUUUAUGCACUUCUGUGACUGAACUGUGGAAAUGAACUACGGCGGUGAUUGUGAAAAUUCUGUUUCUGUUUGCUGCAUUUCUGAGCAUAUUACUUCAUAGAUGUGUUGCAUGUCAUCCAGUGUAGCACAGAUUCAUUGUAAUUUGUAAUUAGUCGAACAAUGCUUUAAAAUAAUAUGGUAAUUCUACAUUCUUCCUUCUUCAAGGUUGUGAGUUUUGUAUUGGAAUUUCUGUUCGUGUGUGGGAGAAUCUUUUUCUGCAAACCUUUACAGCUGUAACUUCCUUGAUGAAGCUGAAAACUCAAUUUUUUUAGAGUGUAGUAUUUCUCUGGCCUGACCUUUGAAGCAAUUUAUUUAUUCUUUUUUGUUUGCUUAUUUUGAAAGAGUGAACUUCCAUUAGUUGGGAACACAGCACCGGAUUUUGAAGCAGAGGCCGUUUUUGAUCAGGAGUUCAUCAAGGUAUUUACGAUGGAAUGCUGAUUGGUAAAUUUUGUGAUUACAAAUUAUGUUGAAUGAAACGCUGUCUUGUCUUGUCUGUCAGGUCAAACUAUCUGAUUAUAUUGGGAAAAAAUAUGUUAUCCUCUUUUUCUAUCCACUGGACUUCACAUUCGUUUGUCCGACAGGUUAGUAGACUUCCGAUUGCGAUUGUUGUGGAUCCUAAAUUUUCUCCUUUUUAACUGUUACAUUACUUGUGUACAGAAAUCACUGCCUUCAGUGACCGGUAUGCAGAGUUUGAGGCACUAAAUACAGAAAUUUUGGGUGUGUCAGUUGACAGUGUUGUGAGUUGUUUUGAUCCCUUUUUUAAUUAUUUCUUCACAUUCUAGCUCUUGUAUAAUUUUUUCCCCAUACUUUUAUUCUAUGGCAUUGUUUGAUCCAUAUAACUGACAAUACCAAUUGAGGAAAAAGGCUUUGUUUGCUGUAAUACUUGUAUCGAUUCUUGAAAAGACAUGUUUUUUGCCUGUAUACAAGCUGCUGAGAACAUGAAAGGUGUUCGAUGACUUUGCCCUCUAACUGCUUAGGUUAAGGUUUUAAUGAUUCAUUUGAGAGGAAGAAGCUAUGACUGAGAGUNNNNNNNNNNNNNNNNNNNNNNNNNNNNNNNNNNNNNNNNNNNNNNNNNNNNNNNNNNNNNNNNNNNNNNNNNNNNNNNNNNNNNNNNNNNNNNNNNNNNNNNNNNNNNNNNNNNNNNNNNNNNNNNNNNNNNNNNNNNNNNNNNNNNNNNAACCUUAAUAAUUGAAAUGUCUUUUUCUUGACCCACAGAUGUAAUGUUAUUCUCAAUAUUUGUGAAGGAUGUGUGACAUUGUGGAGUGGGACGCAGUAUUCCCACUUGUUCCCAAGAAAACAGACAGAUUUUUAUGUUAUGAUCUAUUACCGUUCCUAUUUCUAAAUGCACAAUUAACUUUUUAUAGCCUUAUCCGUAGGCCCUUCUUAAGUUUGCUUCUUCUUGAUCAGUGGUGCUGUUGUUAUCAUUGUAGUUUUCACACCUUGCAUGGGUUCAAACUGAUAGAAAGUCGGGUGGUCUUGGCGACUUGAAUUAUCCUUUGAUUUCUG
rnacentral:lncRNA from 1 species